AGCUCCAAUAGCGUAUAUUAAAUUUGUUGAAGUUAAAAAGCUCGUAGUUGGAUCUCAGGCUAGAUGUGUCGAUGUGGUCAAUGGCCAUCUUCGUUCAUAUCUGCCUUUUUCAGUUGUUUGUCUUCUUAUUGUUCUCUUCAUUGAGUGCUUUAGGGAGCUCGACACGUUUACCUUGAAAAAAUCAGAGUGCUUAAAGCAGGCCUUUGUGCUUGUAUGUUGUUGCAUGGAAUAAUGGAAUAGGACUUCGGUUCUAUUUUGUUGGUUUUCGGUAUCGAAGUAAUGAAUAAUAGAGACAGUCGGGGGCAUUUCUAUGGCUGUGUUAGAGGUGAAAUUCUGAGAUCGCAGCCAGAGAAACUACUGCGAAAGCAUUUGCCAAGCAUGUCUUCA
rnacentral:rRNA from 1 species